rfam:Zootermopsis nevadensis contig4401, whole genome shotgun sequence.
GCCACGGUGGUCUAGCGGUUAGAACGCUGGCCUUGUAAUCCUGGGGUCUCGGGUUCAGAUUCCCGGCGGUGCCC